rnacentral:lncRNA from 1 species
AAACCAAUUCGGCUCCCGGGUCCAGAUGAUCCUGAACAUUACUUUGACUAUAUCAUGUACUAAAAAUGGAUUUCGAGAACUUGUCAGGAUGAUCAGGCAAUAAAGCUGACAGUUCAUAAGUUAAUUUUCCCACUUUUUUGCUCAUGAUGCGGUCACUGAAUCUGGGAACAAUUGACACAAUGUACUCUACAAAAAAUUUCGUGCUUAUCUUCCUGGCCAGAAAUGCGAUCCCUAAUUAGCACAGCCGACAGCUACGCUACUUUUAUUUUUCACCUAGAACUGAUGCUGGAAUUGCUCACCUAUUCGUCCAGCCCGGCGGUUGCAGAUCCAUUUUGCCUAGACUGCACGGAGCCUGCAUCACAACUAGUCGGUCACCACGAUCUGGCCCUUCAACAGCUUUCUGCUCUACAACAUUUCCGUUGUCGCCAUCGCUCUAGCAGAACGCCGACAAGGCGCCAAACACAGGCGCCACAAUCGUCUGCUCUACACCGCCCCGAUCUGACUAGACAAGCUGUGGGCGAAAUCUCUCAGCUCAGGCUGGGCCGCCGCUGCUUCGUCUUCACGGGAUCUGUUCAUAGAUUCCCCAUCAGCGCUGCCGGCCACCACACUAAGCCUUCAUCAAUCGAGCCAACACUCAGACAGCAUAAACAUGGAUGAACAAACAACAGUGGUUAGCCGCAGAGCAACCGCACCACGGUCAAGAGGAAAAAAUAGUCACCUGUCCACAGGAUCUAUGGGGAAAUCCAUCGCCAUGGCUAGCACCUCAUAUCGCCGUGCUCGAUCCCUUCCCUCGCGCCGCCGCCCUGCUCCCACUAGUCAUGGCUCUUCUCUGAAUCCCAUAGCCCCGCAAACUGGCAGCUGACCCUCAUUUACUACGCGACCCGAAAGGUGCUGCUUGGGGAACGACGAGCGUCAGGCGGCAGGUCUGACCAGUGGGUCCAGGUGAC